rnacentral:tmRNA from 1 species
CCCCUUUCACUCUGGCCUCCGACUACCUAUUAUCUAAGGCGUCGGGCAACCGACUAUGGGGAUAAACCUUUCGCGGAAUAAGCAUUACGGACCCGGGGGCGGUACCCGGCGCCUCCACCAAUUCCCGAUGCGUUGGCAACGCAUCACCCUGGGGGCGAAACAGGAUCGACGUGUGUGGUAAAGGCGUAAGUUUCUCCCGGCAUGGUACCACCGUUAUCGGACCAAGCUAGUAGUUGCGAAUGACAACUCCAAGCAGGUCGCCCUCGCCGCUUAAUUGCGGUUCUGGGUAACCACCCUUAAGUCCUUAUCUUGCUAAGGUAAGGCGCGGUUCGGGGGGCACCGGGCAACAGAAGCCCCCCACU